rnacentral:rRNA from 1 species
UACGUAGGGGGCAAGCGUUGUCCGGAAUUAUUGGGCGUAAAGCGCGCGCAGGCGGUCCUUUAAGUCUGAUGUGAAAGCCCACGGCUCAACCGUGGAGGGUCAUUGGAAACUGGAGGACUUGAGUGCAGGAGAGAAGAGUGGAAUUCCACGUGUAGCGGUGAAAUGCGUAGAGAUGCGGAGGAACACCGAUGGCGAAGGCAGCCCCCUGGGCUAGCACUGACGCUCAGGCACGAAAGCGUGGGGAGCAAACAGG